UACGUAGGGGCCUAGCGUUGUCCGGAUUUAUUGGGCGUAAAGAGCUCGUAGGCGGUUCGGUAAGUCAGGUGUGAAAUCUCCACGCUCAACGUGGAGGCGCCACCUGAAGCUGCCGUGACUCGAGUCCGGUAGGGGAGUGCGGAAUUCCUGGUGUAGCGGUGAAAUGCGCAGAUAUCAGGAGGAACACCGGUGGCGAAGGCGGCACUCUGGGCCGGUACUGACGCUGAGGAGCGAAAGCGUGGGGAGCGAACAGG
rnacentral:rRNA from 1 species